AAUAUUGCGCAAUGGAGGGAACUCUGACGCAGCGACGCCGCGUGAGCGAUGAAGGUCUUCGGAUCGUAAAGCUCUGUCCUUGGGGAAGAAGGUCUUCGGACUUGACGGUACCUAAGGAGGAAGCCCCGGCUAACUACGUGCCAGCAGCCGCGGUAAUACGUAGGGGGCAAGCGUUGUCCGGAAUUAUUGGGCGUAAAGGGUGCGUAGGCGGCCUUUUAAGUCAGAUGCGAAAGCCCACGGCUUAACCGUGGGACUGCAUUUGAAACUAAAAGGCUUGAGUGCAGGAGAGGAGAGUGGAAUUCCUAGUGUAGCGGUGAAAUGCGUAGAUAUUAGGAGGAACACCAGUGGCGAAGGCGACUCUCUGGACUGCAACUGACGCUGAGGCACGAAAGCGUGGGGAGCGAACA
rnacentral:rRNA from 1 species